rnacentral:rRNA from 1 species
AACGAACGCUGGCGGCAUGCCUAACACAUGCAAGUCGAACGAGACCUUCGGGUCUAGUGGCGCACGGGUGCGUAACGCGUGGGAACCUGCCCUUAGGUUCGGAAUAACUCCCCGAAAGGGGUGCUAAUACCGGAUAAUGUCUUCGGACCAAAGAUUUAUCGCCUUUGGAUGGGCCCGCGUUGGAUUAGCUAGUUGGUAGGGUAAAAGCCUACCAAGGCGACGAUCCAUAGCUGGUCUGAGAGGAUGAUCAGCCACACUGGGACUGAGACACGGCCCAGACUCCUCCGGGAGGAGGCAUUGGGGAAUAUUGGACAAUGGCCGAAAGCCUGAUCCAGCAAUGCCGCGUGAGUGAUGAAGUCCUUAGGGUGGUAAAGCUCUUUUACCCGGGAUGAUAAUGACAGUACCGGGAGAAUAAGCUCCGGCUACCUCCGU